AACGAACGCUGGCGGCAGGCUUAACACAUGCAAGUCGAACGCAUCCUUCGGGGUGAGUGGCAGACGGGUGAGUAACGCGUGGGAACGUGCCCUUCAGUUCGGGAUAACCCAGGGAAACUUGGGCUAAUACCGGAUACGUGCGAGAGCAGAAAGAUUUAUCGCUGAAGGAUCGGCCCGCGUCUGAUUCGCUUGUUGGUGGGGUAAUGGCCCACCAAGGCGACGAUCAGUUGCUGGUCUGAGAGGAUGAUCAGCCACAUUGGGACUGAGACACGGCCCAAACUCCUACGGGAGGCAGCAGUGGGGAAUAUUGGACAAUGGGCGCAAGCCUGAUCCAGCCAUGCCGCGUGAGUGAUGAAGGCCUUAGGGUUGUAAAGCUCUUUCGUCCGGGACGAUAAUGACGGUACCGGAAGAAGAAGCCCCGGCUAACUUCGUGCCAGCAGCCGCCGUAA
rnacentral:rRNA from 1 species